UCAAGCUCGGGUUUAUGGGUGU
rnacentral:miRNA from 1 species